AAUAAAAGUGUCCAGGGAUGGGAAUCGAACCCACAGUGUUCCGCUUACGGGGCAGAUGCCAUGUCCACUAGUCCACUAUUAU
rnacentral:tRNA from 1 species